GACGAACGCUGGCGGCGUGCUUAACACAUGCAAGUCGAACGAAGUGGCGGACUGGUGAGUAACGCGUAAUCAACCUGCCCUUCUGAGGGGCACAACAGUUGGAAACGACGGCUAAUACCGCAUACUGAAGGUGGAGAUUCCGUCUGAUUUGCUAGUUGGAGGGGUAACGGCCCACCAAGGCGAGGAUCAUUAGCCGGUCUGAGAGGAGGAACGGCCACAUUGGGAAUGAGACACGGCCCAGAAUCCUACGGGAGGCAGCAGGGGGGAAUCUUCCGCAAUGGACGAAAGUCUGACGGAGCAACGCCGCGUGAGUGAUGACGGCUUUCGGGUUGUAAAGCUCUGUUAAUCGGGACGCGGUACCGGAAUAGAAAGCCACGGCUAACUACGUGCCAGCAGCCGCGGUAAUUC
rnacentral:rRNA from 1 species